ACUCUCCAAGCAUCCUUGAAUGCACCACCAGGAAGUGUUUGUCACUGGAACAAGGAUGUAGUUCCCACAGGUGUUUACAGGUGAUACUCGUGGAGAAGGAAGGAGAAGCCAUCAGGUAUGCUGUGGUGCCGAGGAGAAUGAAAGGUAUUCAGGAAAAACACCGAGGUCUUCCCUACGGCUCGGAGGAAGCUUACACUGCAGACGGAGUGAAAUACUACAUCAAUCACGUGACCCAGACGACCUCGUGGAGCCCUCCCGGGUUGAGCAGCGGCGCCCCAGAGCUGACGCCUCCGCCUCCGCCUCAGGAGACCUUAGAGGUGGAGGAAGAGCGUGAUGGAGAGGCAGCGGAGCAGAGACAGAACCCGACCACAGAGACGAAGAUGUAGGAGCAGAUCCUCCAUCCGUCCCCUCCUCC
ensembl:lncRNA